GACGAACGCUGGCGGCGUGCUUAACACAUGCAAGUCGAACGGAAAGGCCCCUUCGGGGGUACUCGAGUGGCGAACAGGUGAGUAACACGUGAGUAACCUGCCCUUGACUUCGGGAUAACUUCAGGAAACUGGGGCUAAUACCGGAUAGGAAUCCUUGCUGCAUGGUGGGGGUUGGAAAGCUUCGGCGGUUUUGGAUGGACUCGCGGCUUAUCAGCUUGUUGGUGGGGUAGUGGCUUACCAAGGCUUUGACGGGUAGCCGGCCUGAGAGGGCGACCGGCCACAUUGGGACUGAGAUACGGCCCAGACUCCUACGGGAGGCAGCAAUGGGGAAUAUUGCACAAUGGGCGGAAGCCUGAUGCAGCAACGCCGCGUGCGGGAUGACGGCCUUCGGGUUGUAAACCGCUUUCAGCAGGGGCGAAGCUUGUGGUGACGGUACCUGAAGAAGAAGCACCGGCUAACUACGUGC
rnacentral:rRNA from 1 species